GACGAACGCUGGCGGCGUGCUUAACACAUGCAAGUCGAACGGUGAAGGGGAGCUUGCUCCCCGGAUCAGUGGCGAACGGGUGAGUAACACGUGGGCAACCUGCCCCAGACUUCGGGAUAACGCUUCGAAAGAGGUGCUAAUACCGGAUACGAACUCCUUGGGCAUCCUGGGAGUUGGAAAGUUUUUCGGUCUGGGAUGGGCCCGCGGCCUAUCAGCUAGUUGGUGAGGUAACGGCUCACCAAGGCGACGACGGGUAGCCGGCCUGAGAGGGCGACCGGCCACACUGGGACUGAGACACGGCCCAGACUCCUACGGGAGGCAGCAGUGGGGAAUAUUGGUCAAUGGACGAAAGUCUGAACCAGCCAUGCCGCGUGAAGGAUGAAGGUCCUCUGGAUUGUAAACUUCUUUUAUAGGGGACGAAAAAAGGGAAUUCUUUCUCACUUGACGGUACCCUAGGAAUAAGCACCGGCUAACUCCGUGCCAGCCGCCGCUGUAACAC
rnacentral:rRNA from 1 species